AUGAAUAAUUCAUGCCUGAACCUUUCUGGGUGCCACAGCAAGCCUGGCUGGUCUGUAAUUCUCUCUGUUCACAUCUUUUCUCCUUUCCUUCUGUUAUUUUCUCUUUUCCAGCCUGCUGAAAUCUCCUCUUCCACCACCACUGUGCACUCCAAACUCCAAGAUCAUUGCUGUUGUUUCAAGGAGGCUUCAGCUGGUCCCUCGCAAACCCUAGGGUGUGUUCAGGGAUUGCUCCAGCCAGAGCUAUGGAAGAGCAGAGAGAGCUACAGCAAGCUCUGUGCCCAGAAGACCAUGUUAGAAUCAUCCCCAAGAAUGGUGUCAGAAAUUCAAAAGAGGAGAGGAGAGAAAUGUCACUGGAGACGAACAGGGGAACAGAUUGUCAUGGUCUAAGUGAAAACAGCAACUUGGCAGUGGUGCUGGUGGUCCCCAGCCCACCUCCCUAGCUUGGGGCUAUUGGCAAUGUCCUUAGGACACUGUCAGCUCUCAGAUUCCAUAAAAUCAUCACAGAGCCAUAGAAUCAUACAACGGCUUGGGUUGGAAGGGACCUUAAAGCUCAUCCAGUUCCAACUCCCUGCCACAGGCUGGUUCCCCCCACCAGAUCAGGCUGCCCAAAGCCCCAUCCAUCCUGGCCUUGAAUGCCUCCAGGGAUGAGGCACCUACAGCUGCUCUGGGCAACAUGAUUUCUCCUGUCAGCUUUCCAAACAUUCCCCAAGUAAGCUCCAUGGGCCCCGUGGCACAUAUGCAGGCUUCCUGGCUGAGCUUUAUAGUGGCUGAACCUUUGUUUUUAUGGUGCAAAGCAGGGAAGCCCAGCUACUGCAUAGAAAAAAAUAAAAAUAAGAAAAGGUAGUACUUCCACUGAGAAACAAGACAAUCUGUGUGUGGCCAUCAGGCAUUUCACUGGGACAAAAAGGAAAGCUGGAUCAGCACGGCUUUCCCAGACAGAUGAACCAUAACUCAGAGAGCCCAACACUCCCCAGCGAGGUACCCUACAGCUGCUGCAGCCUCCACUCAUUCAUUUUCUUCCAUCCCUCUCCACUGCCUCUUUAUUACCCAUUACAAGACAUGUUUGUGAACAUCCCCCAGAAUACCUUGGGGUUGGGGUAGCAACAUCGCUUUGCUUCCAGCAAGGGGCUGGUCUAAGUCAUAACCAUCUCUUUGUCCAAAUGGAGCAUGGUGUGAGCACCAACAAGCAAUGUCUGUCUGCAGGCGGGGCUGGCCUGGGAUUGAGAUGUCUUUGUGUGAUGUUGCCAUAGCUACCCUCCAGCUAAAUGGGGAAAGGGUCCUUUUUCUCACAGGGAAGCCAGCAGAGUUUGGAGCCCAGCCUGGAUCAGACAGUCGGGACUGAACUGCUCUGUGUUGCACUUGGAGAUGGGAGUGCUUGAAAGACAAAAGUUGUAUAUAAAUAUAUGUGUCUGUACGUACAUCUAUGUACAUAUUCUGUAUACAUACAUAAAGAAGGCUGUGGAAUGGUGGUUGAGGCACUGGUUUGCCAGCAAAGGGAGUGAAACCUGAAGUGCAGAGGACUUGAUGUAAGUGCACAGGAGCACACUGAACUGACACAGAUAGGGUAAAAACAUGUGAGUCCUUGAUGUCUGUACACAUGUACUUUAAUGCCACAUGCAGGCAUCAUUUUCUUCAUGAGUGCACUGAGCAAAGGGAAUGUUAUGCAGAAAACUGCUCCCAUUAAAUUUGGAGGUUUUCAGAAGGGUAAUGAGCUCUGGGUUUAACACACCUGGUAGAUGUUGCACUGAGUGACAUGGUCUAGAGGGGUCACAGGCAUGGGUUGAUGGUUGGACUAGAUGACUUUAGUGGUCUUUUCAACUGUAAUUGUUCUAUAAAAAAAUAAAAGCGCAAACAAAAUACUCCACGGUCUUUUUUAGACAUAGGAAAUGCUUUAGAUCUAAUCUGUCUGGGCUUCAGCAACACUUUUGAUAGAAGAGCCACGUGGGAAAUUACUGUUUGUGUUGGAAGAAGCAGAGAAUGGUAUUCGAACGGAAGGUCCUUUGGGAAAUAGCCAUGAGCAAACACAGCAGGUUCUUCUGGAAGCAAAACAGUAGAGGGUGGGGAAUAUACCUGAUGAAAUUCCUCAGAGCCAGUUUUGUUCAUUUCCCUAUGGAACAGGAGAUGUUGGAAGGAGCAGCAAACGUGUGCCAUGAGAAGGUAUACAACGAAUCUGGCCAUUUUAGUCUGGUAAAGCAAUGGAUGAGAGGUAAUUCACUCACGCCGUUAAUGCAUCAAGGAGAUAGAUAAACACCAAAGAGAAAACUUAUGUAAGCUUAAGGCAAGCAUUGGCACCAGAGCAAAUGUGCAUCAAGUGGCCCCAAAUAGCUGUAGGCAGGAAAUUAAAAGGAG
rnacentral:lncRNA from 1 species